rnacentral:rRNA from 1 species
GACGAACGCUGGCGGCGUGCUUAACACAUGCAAGUCGAGCGGUAAGGCCCUUUCGGGGGUACACGAGCGGCGAACGGGUGAGUAACACGUGGGUGACCUGCCCUUAGCUCUGGGAUAAGCCUGGGAAACUGGGUCUAAUACCGGAUAUGACUCCAUAACGCAUGUUGUGGGGUGAAAGCCUUGUGCGGCUAGGGAUGGGCCC